GACGAACGCUGGCGGCGCGCUUAACACAUGCAAGUCGAACGGAAAGGCCUGCUUUCCCUUGUGGAUUGCGGGUACUCGAGUGGCGAACGGGUGAGUAACACGUGAGUGAUCUGCCCCCAACUUGGGUAUAAGCCUGGGAAACUGGGUCUAAUUCCCGAUAGGACUGCAGGGUGGUGCCUGUGGUGGAAAACGAUUUUCUAGUGGUUGGGGAUGAGCUCGCGGCCUAUCAGCUUGUUGGUGGGGUAAUGGCCUACCAAGGCGGCGACGGGUAGCCGGCCUGAGAGGGUGGACGGCCACAUUGGGACUGAGAUACGGCCCAGACUCCUACGGGAGGCAGCAGUGGGGAAUAUUGGACAAUGGGCGGAAGCCUGAUGCAGCGACGCCGCGUGGGGGAUGACGGCCUUCGGGUUGUAAACUCCUUUCGACCGCGAGGAAGCCACCUGGAUGGAAGGGUGGUGACGGUAGUGGUAGAAGAAGCACCGGCUAACUACGUG
rnacentral:rRNA from 1 species